UACGGAGGAGGCAAGCGUUAUCCGGAAUUAUUGGGCGUAAAGCGUCCGCAGGUGGCUGUGUAAGUCUGCUGUCAAAGAGCGAAGCUCAACUUCGUAAAGGCAGUGGAAACUACACGGCUAGAGUGCGUUCGGGGCAGAGGGAAUUCCUGGUGUAGCGGUGAAAUGCGUAGAGAUCAGGAAGAACACCGGUGGCGAAGGCGCUCUGCUAGGCCGCAACUGACACUGAGGGACGAAAGCUAGGGGAGCGAACAGG
rnacentral:rRNA from 1 species